UAAUCCAAAACAAAAUUUAUAUCAUGUUUUCAAAUCAAAACUAAAUAUUUAUUAAAGCAUGAUCCAUCUAUUGUGAUAAUUCUAAACAAAAUUUAUAUCAUAUGCAUAAAUCAUAUUGUGAUAAUUUUAAACAAAAUUUAUAUCAUGUUCACAAAUCAUAACUAAGUAUUAAUUAAAAUAUGAUCCAAAAAAAAAAAAACUAAGUACAAUCAAGUACAUGAUACAACCAAUUUAACAAAAUAGAAACAAAUACUACUCAAUAUGAUCACUACCAACAUCCUAGCUGCGACAUUCUCUCUCCCAUCCAAGUAGGCUUAUUUUCCAAAUCUUUACGCGCAUCUUGCAUUAGUUGCGACAUCUUAGCUGCACUCCGUUUUUCAAAGUUGCGUCGCACCAUGUCGUUCAAAGUUAGGGGCCAUGUAAACCUUUUCUGUAAUGGAAAAAACAAAAAUAAUGGGAGAAGAUAAACAAAAUAGAUGAACAAAACAUAAACAAUAUCUUACACAAAUCAGUCUAGGAAUCAGGCUAGUUGAGAAAUUAAAAACCAUACAAUACAUAAGCUAACUAAUUAAUUAACCAAACAAAUUACAGCAUAAGCUAACUAAUUAAUUAACCAAACAAAUUACAGCAUAUAUGGGAAAGAACAAGAAACAGGAAACAGGAAACAGGAAACAAGAGAAAUAAUAAAAAAAAAAAUGUCUAUUCUAAAUGCAUACAGUUUUUGGAGCCAUAUUAAGUUAUGAACUCAAGAUUUAUGGUAUAUAGGCAGGAAGCAUAAAUUUUGCAUCUGUAUUGUCAGAGUCCAAUACCCCUCUUCCCCAAAAGCAUUGAUUCUCAAGGACUAGCAUUACUCAUUCCCAAUAAUUCAUAUAACUAAAAAUGAUAUAAUUUUGGCAUGUGUUGACAGUUUUGCAAAUAAGUGAAAACAUAAUAAGCAAGUAUCAGUUCUAACUCUAUGGAAAAAAGGUUCUAACCCAUUAAACUCAGUCGUUAUUGUAGAAAAAGAGUAAAGACAAUUUAUUUCCAAUAGCUCAAUCUAUCUAACUACCUCAAAUCCUUAUAGUAUUCAAUUAAAAAGGAGUACAACCACUCCCAAGUCAAAAACACUCAACUACCAUACCAAAAAUCAAGUAUUCAAAUUAAAUACUUCCUCAUUACAUAUCUUUGAUAACAUUGAUAAUCACAAAAUGUUGAACAUCUAAAUGUGUAAUUUCCGACAAUUUGUGCACUUCAAAUGCACAUCUUUCAAGGGUUUUUUAAUGGUGAAUAAGGAAAAAGGAGCUCCAUUAACUCAUUUGAUACUAGUAUACUAAUAACAAAUUUACUCUUGUGCAAUCCUUAUAUGUAAUGAAAGGCUUGUUUUUCUUCAUCCAAGUAAAACAUGUUUGCUUCAAUGAUAAUGAAAAUUGAUUUAUUUAGUCUAAAAAGUGUUAAUCUUCAUUUAAAGGUUAAGAUCUAUUCAUUGAAGUGAAAACAUGAAUUUUUUUACUGCAUCAAAUCUAUUUCCAUUAUCAUGCCUACUCAAACAUGGAUCAAACAGGCUUCNN
rnacentral:lncRNA from 1 species